GUCGAAGCGGGGAUCUGGCCGCCGCUUGGAAAGAGGCGUGCGGGUGAACCGAGCCCAAGUGCGCGGUGAGGGCGGCGGCCGAGGCCCCUGCCAGGCCCUCCGGGGCCGCCCCCAGAUCCCCCACGCCGGCGUGCAGAAUGUCUGCGAUGCAGAAGGAGGGCUUUUUGACGGCGGCGGGGUCCAAGGGGAAGGAGCAGCCGCCUGGGCCGGCCGAGGAGCAGUAAGCGGCCGACCAGAGGCUGAAGUUGGAGGCGUAGAAGGGAGCCAGCCCGGCUGCGAACAUCCUGCCGGGGCCAGGUGGUCUCAGAAGAGGCAACUGGUUGCCAGGAAGCACAGUCUAUGAGACCCAGAAGUAACUCUGGAGAUCCUCCAAUUACCUCUCACUUUACAGUGAAGGAAACUGAGGCCCAGAUGGAGUCAGUAGGUUACUUGAGAUCUCACAGUUGCAGAAGUGGACUAAAAGCCAGAUGGAGUUUUGCUCUCGUUGCCCAGGCUGGAAUGUAAAUAGUGUGAUCUCGACAUACUGCAACCUCUGCCUCCCAGGUUCAAGCGAUUCUCCUGCC
rnacentral:lncRNA from 10 species